rnacentral:rRNA from 1 species
UUGUAGUCAAGCGACUGAAGGCCAGUGGGGGAUGCCUGGGCACACGGAGGCGAUGAAGGGCGCGGUAAGCUGCGAUAAGCCGGGGGGAGCCGCACACAGGCUGUGAGCCCCGGAUGCCCGAAUGGGGAAACCCGGCCGGUGGGAACACCGGUCACUCCUAUAUGGAGAGCGAACCCGGGGAACUGAAACAUCUCAGUACCUGGAGGAAGAGAAAUCAACCGAGAUGCCCCCAGUAGCGGCGAGCGAACGGGGCGGAGCCCAAACCGUGGUCCUUGUGGCCACGGGGUUGUAGGACCCACGGACGGGACACGAGACGGCAGCUGAAGUCCGCUGGAAAGCGGCGCCAGAGACGGUGACAGCCCGGUACGCUAAGCCAAGGUACGUGUUCUAGUGGUGUUCCUGAGUAGCGCCAUGCUUUCGAGGAACGUGGCGUGAAGCUGGGGGGACCACCCUCCAAGGCUAAAGACUCCCGUGUGACCGAUAGUGGACGAGUACCGUGAGGGACAGGUGAAAAGCACCCCAGUGCGGGGAGUGAAAUAGAUCCUGAAACCACUGGCCUACAAGCGGUAGGAGGACGGCGCAUCGCAAGGUGUGCGCGUCUGACUGCGUGCCUUUUGCAUUAUGAUCCGGCGAGUUACGCCUCAGCAGCGAGGCUAAGGACCUCAGGUCCGGAGCCGUAGCGAAAGCGAGUCCUGUCACGAGGGCGAGUGGAGUUGCUGGGGGUAAACCCGAAGCCAGGGCGAUCUACCCAUGAGCAGGGUGAAGCUGGGGUAACACCCAGUGGAGGCCCGCACCGGUAUGGGUUGAAAACCGUUCGGAUGACUUGUGGGUAGGGGUGAAAGGCCAAUCAAGCCUGGAGAUAGCUGGUUCUCCCCGAAAUCUAUUGAGGUAGAGCCUCGAGGCUGGCCCUAGUGGCCGUAUGUCGGCAGGGGGUAGAGCGACUGGAUGGGCGCGGGGGAGCGUGGCUCCUACCAACCCCAACCAAACUCCGAAUACCUGACCGAUGGACCUCGGGAGGCAGUCGCUGAGCGAUAAUGUCCAGCGGCGAGAGGGAAAGAACCCAGAGCCACAGCUAAGGCCCCGAAGUGGCCGCUGAGUAUAGCGAAGGAUGUGUUCCUACUUUGACAACUGGGAGGUUGGCUUAGAAGCAGCCACUCCUUUAAAGAGUGCGUAAUAGCUCACCAGUCCAGUGGGGAUGCGCCGAGAAUGGUCGGGAUUAAGCGGCCCGCCGAAGCUUGGCCUUCGACGUUUGACGUCGAGGGGUAGGGGAGCGUUCCGGGAACGAUGAAGCGGCCGUGGAAACGUUGCCGUGGAGUGACCGGAAGUGAGGAUGCCGGACUGAGUACGCGCAAAUGCGGGUGAGAACCCCGCACACCGUAAGCCUAAGGUUUCCUGCGCCAUGGCAAUCAGCGCAGGGUGAGGCGGACCCUAAGGCGAGGCCCCAGAGGCGUAGCCGAUGGACAACGGGUGAACAUUCCCGUCCCGUCUCCGAUCGUUGAAGCCGUGAGGGACACCGGAACGAAGCGUGAGCGGUCUUGUGGAUGGCCGUGUAAAGCCGUAGGCGCAAGCCGAGAGCCCAUGCCGAGCUGAGGAUUCGUCCUCGGCGAGUCACGUAGAGUCGACGGGCGAGAAAAGCUCACGGGGGAGAUCGCGAGACGUCCGUACCGCAAACCGACACAGGUAGGCGAGGCGAGUAGCCUCAGGUGAACGAGUGAGACGUGGUCAAGGAACUCGGCAUAAUGAUCCCGUAACUUCGGAAGAAGGGAUGCCCUUUGGGGUGACGGCCUCGCGCCGACAGCCUUGAGGGGCCGCAGUGAAUCGGCUCAAGCGACUGUUUAGCAAAAACACAGGUGCAUGCCAAGCCGCACAAGGCGCCGUAUAUGCACUGACGCCUGACCGGUGCCGGAAGGUUAAGGGG